GGAGGGCUCCGGCGUUUCUAACCCUAAAUGGCUCGCGCCGCACUCCCCGCGCUCGUCCGCUGUUUUACUCGCUGACUUUCAGCGGACGAGGGGAGUGGCCCCCCGUGGCGGGGGGGCAGGGAGAGGGGGCGACGGGGGGGGAGCAGGGCAGGGAGAGGGGGCCGGCAACCAAAAAACGUCAGCGAGGGGUCUCUCC
rnacentral:sRNA from 1 species